UUGUACUAAGAGUUUGAUCGUGGCUCAGGAUAAACGCUGGCGGUAUGCCUAAGACAUGCAAGUCGAACGGAAUUCAUGCGUAGCACAGAGAACUUAAUUUAAAAUUUUUAAUUUUUAAUUUUUAAUCAAUUCAAAAUAUCUAAUGCUUUAAUUUUUAAAUUAAUUCAUUAAAAAUUGAUUAUAAAUUAUAAAUUUUGAAUUAAAAAUUAUAUUUUGUGUGCUAUGCACGAGUUUAGUGGCAAACGGGUGAGUAUAAAAUACGAAUGUACUUUGAAGCGGAGGAUAGCCCACCGAAAGGCGGGGUAAUACUCUAUAAUGUCUCCGGACUAAAGACGCAAGUCACUUCGAAAGCAGCGUAUUCGCUACCAGCUAGUUGGCGGGGUAAAAGCCCACCAAGGCUAUGACGGCUACCGGCUCUUAGCGGAGAGUCCGGCACAAUGGGACUGAGACACGGCCCAUACACCUACGGGUGGCAGCAGUUAGGAAUUUUGCGCNNNNNNNNNNNNNNNNNNNCAUGAAGGCGGGAAGAAUAAGCAGCUACAAACUAUGUGCCAGCAGUCGCGGUAAUACAUAGGCUGCAAGCGUUAUCCGGAUUUAUUGGGCGUAAAGAGUCUGUAGGCGGUUUCUCAAGUCUUGUUUCAAAGACCUCGACUUAAUCGAGGAAAGGGGCAAGAUACUGGGUUACUAGAGUGAUAUCGGGGUUACUGGAAUUUGUAGUGUAGGGGUUAAAUCCGUGGAUACUACAAAGAACACCAAGCGCGAAGGCGGGUAACUAGGUAUAUACUGACGCUGAGAGACGAAAGCUAGGGGAGCAAAUCAGAUUAGAGACCUGAGUAGUCCUAGCCGUAAACGAUGUCUGUUAAUUUUUCCACUUUUGUGGGGAGAUGUAAGCUAACGCGUUAAACAGACCGCCUG
rnacentral:rRNA from 1 species